rnacentral:rRNA from 1 species
UACAGAGGGGGCAAGCGUUGUUCGGAAUUACUGGGCGUAAAGGGCGCGUAGGCGGCCUUCUAAGUCGAACGUGAAAUCCCCGGGCUCAACCCGGGAACUGCGUCCGAGACUGGAAGGCUUGAAUCCGGGAGAGGGAUGUGGAAUUCCAGGUGUAGCGGUGAAAUGCGUAGAUAUCUGGAGGAACACCGGUGGCGAAGGCGGCAUCCUGGACCGAGAUUGACACUGAUGAGCGAAAGCUAGGGGAGCAAACGGG